rfam:Stegodyphus mimosarum contig48618, whole genome shotgun sequence.
GCUUUCGUGGUGUAGUGGUCAGCACGCUCGGCACGUAUUCGAGAGGUCGGCGGUUCGAAUCCCGGCGAAGGCA